GAAAGAAAAGAAAGAAAGAGAAAGAAAAGAAAGAAAAAGAAAGAAAAAAGAAUUAGGUACCACCUGACACAAUGAUAACAUAGCAUUACUUUUGGGAUAUUGCCAAAAAUAUACAGCCUGAAUCCAACCAUAAGAAAACACCAGGCAUUUCCAAAUAAAAAGAUCCUGCUUCCACCAAAAUGUGGCCUGUAAGAGUAAAAAAAUGUCCCAGUCAUGAAAGUCCCAGUCAUGAAAGACUGAGGAAUUUUUACCGAGUAAAGGAGACGAAAGUGACAUAACAACUAAAUGCGGUAUGUGAUUCUGGACUGGAUCACUUUGCUAAAAAGAACAUUAAUGAGAUAAUUGUCAAAACUUAAAUGGAGUCUGCAGAUAAGGUGGUAGACUAUGUCAACAUUAGUUUCUUGAUUUUGAGAGUGGAAUUGCAGUUAGGAUUUUAGGAGAAUAGUCAUGUUUGUAAGAGUUACACAUCAAAGUAUUCAGGACUUCAUUUUGACAACAUAAUUUCAAAUGAUUCAGGAAAUAAAAAGAAGUUCUUAAUACUAUUGUGAUUUUUCAAUAAGUUUGAAAUAUUUUCAAAAUUAAAAUAUUUAGAAAAAAAUUUAUAUGAAAUAACAAUGUAGAGAAAAUUGAAUUUUACAUAUUGAAGAAUUAGAAUAAAAGGUAGAUGAGUAUGUUCAAAAAAGAAUGCCUGAAAUGGUAUCACUCAUAAAAAUAAACUGCCUGAAUAGAUUGAUAAUUGCAACCAAUAUGGGAAAUGUAUGUAUACUUAUUAUAUAAAUUAAGUAAUUAUUGAAAGUUGUAGCUAUAUUAGAAAAUACAGUACUGCUACCAAUUAAAAUAAACACUUUAACUCUUAAUAAUAAAGAUGGACCAAGUGCCUUUUGGGAUUUCAUAAUAGUAAUGCUUUCAACCUGCCAACUUUUGAGUGAAUUCCAGGUAAUAGCUAUGAGAAAAGCAGUUCAUGUAAGAAUGCCACACAGCUGUCAGAUUGUUUUGAUUCUUGUAUACACUUGAUUUUAGUCCUAAAUUAGAUACAUGGUUAUUAGUAAGACUUCUCCAGCUUGAUUCACUCGUCUAACCUGUCUCAAGCAAUAAUUGGCAGCUAUAAAUUAAAUUAUGUAGGUCACAUUAGGAUCAGUGCAGCAGUUUCUCCAUCUGCCUAUUUCUCAUACCUUGUCAUUGUCAUUUACUUUUUAAUUAUACAAUUAUUUUAAAGAAGGUCAAGAUAAUGCAGCAAAGAGUUCACUUAAAGGUAGUUUCAUAUUAACAUUCCAAAGCCCUUGUAUGUUCUUGUAUUACACAUAGUAUUUGAUGAUUCACAAUGUAGUAGCACUCACUCACUGCCAUAUUUCCUCACCAAAUCAGAAGGCAAGCAAAAAUUAUCUCUUUUUUUGGCCUACUAUUGCACUCCUGAUCUUUUAUACUGCUUUUUGACUAGUGUAAUAUUCCUAAUAUAAACGUUUCAAUAGAUUCAAAAUCUGUUAAAUAGUGUUUCAACUGGGUUCUGGUUGCAAGUUUUCCAUCCAUGCUUCUAGAGCUGUGAUUUGUGAAAUCCACCCAGGACCCCAGGCACAGCCUGCCCAAAUCAUAUGAUUCGGCAUUUCUUCCUCCCUUUUCCCAGUAUAGGAAUAACUUCAGAGAUAUUACGGGUUCAGUUCCUGACCAGCACAAUAAAAUGAAUAUAGCAGUAAAGCAAGUCAGAUAAACUUUUUGGCUUCCUAGUGCAUUCAAAAAUUAUGUUCAUACUAUAGUAUAUUAAGUAUGCAAUAGCAUUAUGUCUAAAACCAUGAUGUACAUGUCUUAAUUUUAAAAGACUUUAUUGCUUAAAAAUGUUAAUUAUUAUCUGAGACAGCAGCUAACUCUAAUCUUUUUGCUAUAAUAGUAGAAGGUCUUGCCUUCAUGUUGAUGGCUGAUGACUGGUCAGGGUGGUGGUUGCAAAAGGGUGAGGUGGCUGUGGCAAUUUCUUAAAAGAAGACAACGACAAAGUUUGCCACAUUGACUGACUCUUCCUUUCACAAAAUAUUUCCCUGUAGUAUGUGAUGCUGUUUAACAGCAUUUUACCCACAGUAGAACUUCUUUCAAAACUGGCAUCAAUCCUCUCAAACUGUGCCCCUAUUUUAACAACUAAGUUUAUGCAAUAUUUGAAAUCCUUUGUUGUCAUUUCAACAACGUUCACAGCAUCUUCACCAAGAGUGAAGUUGUAGAUAUAUUAGAAAAUACAGUACUGCUACCAAUUAAAAUAAACACUUUAACUCUUAAUAAUAAAGAUGGACCAAGUUCCUUUUAGGAUUUCAUGAUAGUAAUACUUUCAACCUAACAACUUUUAGCUAUGAGAAAAGCAAUUCAUAUCAGAAUGCCACACAGCUGUCAGAUUGUUUUGAUUCUUGCAUACACCUGAUUUUAGUCCUAAAUUAGAUAUACGGUUAUUAGUAAGUACCUACUUUCUUUGCUCAUCAGGAGCAACUCUUCAUCCAUUCAAGUUUUCUGGUGAGACUGUAACCACUUAGUCACGUCUUCAAGGUCUAUGUCUAAUUCUAGUUCUCUUACUAUUUCCAGCACAUCUGCAGCUACAUCCUCCACUGAAGUCUUGAACCCGUCAAUGUCAUCCAUGAGGAUUGGAAUCAAUCUCUUCCAAACUCCUGUUAAUGUUGAUAUUUUGGCCUUCUCACAGGAAUCAUGAAUUUUUUUUUUGUUUGUUUGUUUGUUUGUUUGUUUUUUGUUUUUUCGAGACGGAGUCUCGCUCUGUUGCCAGGCUGGAGUGCAGUGGCAUGAUCUCAGCUCACUGCAACCUCCACCUCCUGGGUUCAAGUGAUUCUCCUGCCUCAGUCUCCUGAGUAGCUGGGACUACAGGCGUGUGCCACCAUGCCCAGCUAAUAUUUGUAUUUUUUUUUUUUUUUUUAGUAGAGAUCGGGUUUCACCAUGUUGGCCAGGAUGGUCUCGAUCUCCUGACCUCGUGAUCCGCCUGCCUCGGCCUCCCAAAGUGAUGGUAUUACAGGCGUGAGCCACUGUGCCCGGCCUCAUGAAUGUUCUUAAUGGCAUCUGGAAUCCUUUCCAGAAGAUUUUCAAUGGACAUUGCCCGGAUCCCUCAGAAGAAUCACUAUCUAUGGCAGCUCUGGCCUUAUACAAUGUAUUUCUUAAAAAAUAAGACUAGAAAGUUGAAGUUACUACUUGAUCCAUGGGCUGCACAAUAGGUGUUGUAUUAGCAGGCAUGUAAACAACAUUCAUCUUGUACAUCUCCAUCAGAGCUCAUGAGUGACUAAUUCUGAAAGGAAUUUUUUUUUUUCCUGAGCAGUAAGUAUCAACAAUGGGCUUGAAAUAUUCGGUAAACCAUGCUGUAAACAAAUGUGUUGUUAUCCAGGCUUUGUUGUUCCAUUUCUAUAGCAUAAGCUGAGUAGAUUUAACAUAAUUUUUAAAGGCCCUAAUAUUUUCGGAAUGGUAAAUGAGCAUUGGCAUCCACUUAAAGUCACCAGCUUGAUUAGUCCCUGAGAAUCAGCCCAUCCUUUGAGACUUUGAAGCUGGACAUUAACUUCUCCUCUCAGUAACAAAAGUCCUGCAUGGCAUCUUCUUCCAAUAUAGGGCUGUUUCAUCUACAUUAAGAAUCUGUUGUUAGUGUAGCCACCUUCAUGAAUGAUCUUUGCUAGAUUUUCUGAUAACUUGCUGCAGCUUCUACAUCAACAUUUGCUGCUUCACCUUCCACUAUGAUGUUACGGAGAUGGCUUCUUUCCGUAAACCUCAUGAACCAACCUCUACUAGCUUCCAACUUUUCUUUUCCAGCUUAUCUCUCUCAGCCAUCAUAGAAUUGAAGAGAGUUAGGGCUUUGCCGGGAAUUAGGAUUUGGCCUAAGGGGAUGUUGUGGCUUCUAUCAAGACUAUUAAAACUUUUUCCGUAUCAGCAAUAAGGUUGGUUCACUUUCUUUUCAUUUAUGUAGUCACUGGAGUAACACUUUUAAUUUCCCUCAAGUUUGUCCUUGCAUUCACAACAUGGCUAACACUGUCUGGCACAGAAGGCCUAGCAUUUGCCCUGUUUUAGCUUUUGACGUGUUUUCCUCACUAAGCUUAAUCAUUUCUAGCUUUUGAUUUAAAGUGAGAGAUACACAAGUGUUUCUUUUACUUGAAACCUUAGAGGCCAUUGCAGGGUUAUUAAUUGGCCUAAUUUCAAUAUUGUUGUGUCUCAGGGAAUAGGAAGGCCCAAGGUGAAAGACCAAGGAGAAGGAGAGAGACAGGGUAACGGUAGGUCCACGGAGUAGUCAGAACACAUAUAUUUAUCGAUUAGGUCCACUACAUUAUAUGGAUGUGGUUUAUGGCACCCCAAAACAAUUACAACUGUAAUAUCAAAGACCUCUGUUCCAGAUCACCAUAACAGAUAUAAUAAUGAUGAAUUAUUAUAAUUAUUAUAAGUUGAAUUAUUACUUAUUCUCCAAAGAAUCUCCAAAAUGUGUCACAGAGACAGGAAAUCAGCACAUGCUGUUGGAAAAAUGGGGCUGAUAGACUUGCUCAACAAGAGGUUGCCUCAAACUUUCAAUUUGUAAAAAGCACACUACCUGCAAAGCACAAUAAAGUGCUAUGAAAGGAGACAUGCCUGUUCAUAUUUAUCACACUGUUUUGUAAUCUUAUAACUGUUGCUGAGUUGUAUGUUUCUUUCUUUGAAACAUAUAACUUGUUGUUGUUGUUUCUCAAUAUAUAUUCCUCCCACAAACUUCCCUAAUCAUGUUCAAAGCAGCUAACACAAAAGGAAUAAAUUCAGGGUCAAUGAUUUAGAUUCUACCUGGAUCUUUAUUUCAGAAGUUUUCUUUUUCUUUUCUUUUUUUUCUUGAAAUGUAGAAUGACUUAUAGACUUUUCUGAAAUGUAGAGUGAUUAGUAGACUUUUCAGAAAAUAUGUAUGUAUGUAUUUGUUAUUUCUCUGACUACCUUCCUGAGCCACUAGGCAAGUGACCUGCCUGUAGCUAUUUGCUAAAUUUUAUUUAAAGGUACAUCUUCAGCAUCAUGCAAUAUUGCCAUGUAGCAAACCUGCACAUGUACCCCCCUAAAAUGAAUUAAUUUUUUAAAGAUAUAUCCUAUUCUAAAUUAGACUGGGUUUUACUUCAAUUACAGAAGUCAAAUUUACCUAUAGAAUACACUUACAUGGUGGGAAGUACUGGAAUGAAAAUGGCAGAACUCAGUAAGUUUAUUUCCCUCAGACUGCAUUGUGGCUGAUACUUUUACAGAGACAGAUUUUAUAUUGUAGUAUGGUCAGCUCUUUCAUUUCAUGAUGUAUAUAAUUGAUCAUUUGAAGUGGAGUUUCUGUUGAGUCAGAUGGAGGUAAAACACCAUUCCAAUUUUUGGCAUUACUUAAAGUUAAUACCAACUGCAUGGUUCAUAAAAACAAUUUGUUCAUUAAUUGUCUUCUGUACUCAAUAAUAAAAGCAGUAUGUCAAUACAUUUACCUGUAUGAGAAGUAGACCAAAUGACUUAUAUAGAAACUGACUACUUAGAAGAGCUUAUUUGGGGAACUGAAAAGAAUAAAAAUGAAAUAGAAGAUAGGACAUAGAAAUGAAUGAAAACUUAAGAAUGGUUAUUAAUAUGAAAUCAAUUGAGAAUUCUUUUUACUUUGAUAUUUCAGUAAAAAUUUCUAUUGAAUGCUUAUAAAAAUAUCAUUCCUUUUGCUUUUUGUUCUUUGCUAAACAGAGUGCUUCUGCAGUGACUAAUCAAACCCCAUCAUAACAGGGGUUUGGAUAGAAAUUACUGUCCUUUUAAAGUCAAGUACUC
rnacentral:lncRNA from 10 species